rnacentral:rRNA from 1 species
AACGUAGGAGACAAACGUUAUCCGGAGUUACUGGGCGUAAAGGGCGUGUAGGUGGUUUCGUAAGUCUGGCGUGAAAUUUUUCGGCUUAACCGGGAAAGGUCGUCGGAUACUGCGGAGCUAGAGGACGGUAGAGGCGUGUGGAAUUCCGGGUGUAGUGGUGAAAUGCGUAGAGAUCCGGAGGAACACCAGUGGCGAAGGCGGCUCACUGGUCCGGUACUGACGCUGAGGUGCGAAAGCGUGGGGAGCAAACAGG